GCUCAAGCAUAAAUCUGAAUUGCUUUCGCACUUUUCUAGUUCUUGUAUGAGUUUUGCUCAUACAAAUGGAAAUUAUUGGGGGGCUCAACCCACCCCCCUUGAUUCCGACGGCCUUGUAUAUAAGCUCAAGUCUUAAAUAAUCCUCCCCUGUAAUUCUAGUCCUAUGCUUAUAAUUAAUAAAAUUCCCCUCUCUAUGGUUUAAUGUCAGUGAAUUGUACACAUUUUUCCUUCCACCCAGAGACAAUUUUUAAUUUUGGUUUCACUGUUUUAUCAAUAUAUGUACAACCUAAUGAGGUUGUUUCACAAUAAAUCAUUUGCUGAGCUGCCUGUAUGGUCUAAGAGCAAUAAUACCAAAUGGCAAAUAAUAGAAUUUUUGAACAUUAAGGGAAAUUUUAAUAGAACUACAAAGAAAAUAAUGACAGCACAAAUCACAUUUGAUGUUUGUCAACUCCAACACAACAGCACUGAUACCAUGUCUGAAGAAUAAACAAUAAACCACUGGCCAACAUUUGGGAAUUGCUCCCCCCUCUCUAUUAUGAUCCUCUCACUAAAAGAUGGGCAAGUGAUAAUCACUUGAUAGCAUGACAUGAAGACACAUUGUGGGUCAUAUAUCAUUUAGUAAUUAGUACCACAUAUAGAGCAUGCUGGUCCAUUUUUUUUUUUUGGGGGGGGCAACAUUUACCAGGGGCAUCUCUAGAGGGGGUGUGGGGGAGGGAUAACACCCCCAAUCGCCAUACAUUCUGCAAAUUAUUGAGUCGCAGUCAGGAAAUUGUUUUUGUAGUUGGCAAAAAUGGAACUGGAUAGGAAGGAAAAAAUUAAAUUAUAUGAGUUACACUGAUUAAUUAAAAGCUAAUAUUUAGAGCAAAAAAAUUGGAAAAUUUACGAAAAAAUAAAGGAAAGAUUACCGAAUGACGGUUGGUUAAUGAGAAAGGAAAAGAAAAAAAUAAUGGCUGUAAAAUUUUUUUUUCGUGAACCCCUCCUACCCCGGCUCGCCAACAUUUUUGGGAAAAGAAAUAUUAAUUAGUGUUUGAGAUGAGUCGGCAAAAUUGCACUUACACCCCUUCAUUAAAACAGGGCUAACGGCGCCCCUGCAUAUUACCACCUUUUGUUGCUAGUAAUCUUAGUUAAUCUUAAAUUUCAUGCUAUAUAUAGGUUAGGGACCAUUCAUUCUUUAUACCUUAGGGUGGGAGAUCCAUUUAUCAUAUGGAUAUCAUGGGUCCCCCCUUUAUGAUGCUCAUAAUAAUGAACUUCCCCCGCACUCAAAUAUUUAAAAGUAUAUGCCCCUCCC